rnacentral:rRNA from 1 species
UACGUAGGUGGCAAGCGUUGUCCGGAAUUAUUGGGCGUAAAGGGAGCGCAGGCGGAUUAUUAAGUCAUACUUAAAAGUGCAGGAGUAAUACUUGUGAUGGGUAUGAUACUGACAAUCUUGAGAGCAGGAGAAGCAAGCGGAAUUCUAGGUGUAGCGGUGAAAUGCGUAGAUAUCGGGAGGAACACCAGUGGCGAAGGCGGCUUGCCGGACUGUAUCUGACGCUGAGGCUCGAAAGCAGGGGUAGCGAACG